GAAUCCAUGAAGCUCCGGUAAAACGAAACACGGUUUCAGUCCCCCGACAUACUUUUCAGGCGAAUGCUAACUAUCAAGAUCCAUGAAUCUGUCCCUUAAUUGCUUCUCAGAUAACAACAUAUACCUAGACAUCUAUAAGCAGCAUGGACAGUGAGUGCCUGGUGUUGUUGCCACGAGUGUGCGCUGUACUAGCGGACCCCAGACAGUCCCUACCAGAUGACACCAGCCUCGAGAAACUGCUGGACUGGUUCACUGGUCUCACCAAGGAGGGUGAGGACACACACACAGAGAGAAAGGUCUCACCAAGGAGGGUGAGGAGAGACACACACACACACACACACAGAGAGAAAGGUCUCACCAAGGAGGGUGAGGACACACACACAGAGAGAAAGGUCUCACCAAGGAGGGUGAGGACACGCACACAGAGAGAGAAAGGUCUCACCAGCAAGAAUAAGGAGGAGAGACUACCUAUAAUCUCUUUCACACAUAGCGAG
rnacentral:lncRNA from 1 species